UGAAUACGAGACGCUAAGGCGUCGAAGUAGUGUAUGUCAUACUUCCGAGAAAAGCUUGCACUGUCAUAGAUAAAAAACGCCUGUACCAUAACCGACACAGGUGGGUAGGUAGAGUAUACUAAGGGGCGCGAGAUAACUCUCUCUAAGGAACUCGGCAAAAUAACUCCGUAACUUCGGGAGAAGGAGUGCCUUAUUAUUAAGGCUGCAAUAACAAGAUCCAAGCAACUGUUUAUCAAAAACACAGGUCUCCGCUAAGUCGUAAGACGAUGUAUGGGGGCUGACGCCUGCCCAGUGCCAGAAGGUUAAAGAAGUUGGUUAGCAUUUGCGAAGCUGAUAACUGAAGCCCUGGUGAACGGCGGCCGUAACGAUAACGGUCCUAAGGUAGCGAAAUUCCUUGUCGGGUAAGUUCCGACCCGCACGUAAGGCGUAAUGAUUUGGAUACUGUCUCGGAGAGGGGCUCGGUGAAAUAGACUUGUCUGUGAAGAUGCGGACUACCUGCACCAGGACAGAAAGACCCUAUGAAGCUUUACUGUAACUUGAAAUUGAAAUUGGACUUUAUUCGCGCAGCAUAGGUGGGAGGCGUUGAUUAUAAUCUUGUGGGAUUAUUGGAGCCAUCAGUGAGAUACCACUCUUGUAAUGUUAGAUUUCUAACUUUGAAUCAUUAUCUGGUCAAAGAACAGUUUCAGGCGGGCAGUUUGACUGGGGCGGUCGCCUCCUAAACGGUAACGGAGGCGUACAAAGGUUUCCUCUGAACGGUUAGAAAUCGUAUCUAGAGUGUAAAGGCAUAAGGAAGCUUGACUGUGAGACCUACAAGUCGAGCAGGGACGAAAGUCGGUCUUAGUGAUCUGACGGUACUGAGUGGAAAGGCCGUCACUCAACGGAUAAAAGUUACUCUAAGGAUAACAGGCUGAUCUCCCCCAAGAGUUCACAUCGACGGGGAGGUUUGGCACCUCGAUGUCGGCUCAUCGCAUCCUGGGGCGGUAGUACGUCCCAAGGUUUGGGCUGUUCGCCCAUGAAAGCGGUACGCGAGCUGGGUUCAGAACGUCGUGAGACAGUUCGGUCCAUAUCCGGUGUAGGCGUUAGAAUAUUGAGAGGAGCCUUCUUUAGUACGAGAGGACCGAGAAGGACAUACCUCUGGUGUACCAGUUAUCGUGCCAACGGUAAACGCUGGGUAGCUAUGUAUGGAGUGGAUAACCGCUGAAAGCAUCUAAGUGGGAAGCCCACCUCAAGAUAAGUAUUCU
rnacentral:rRNA from 1 species